GACGAACGCUGGCGGCGUGCCUAAUACAUGCAAGUCGAGCGCAGGAAGCUGACGGAACUCUUCGGAGGGAAGGCAGUGGAAUGAGCGGCGGACGGGUGAGUAACACGUAAGGAACCUGCCUCAAGGAUUGGGAUAACUCCGAGAAAUCGGAGCUAAUACCGGAUAGUUCAACGGACCGCAUGGUCCGCUGAUGAAAGGCGCUUCGGCGUCACCUUGAGAUGGCCUUGCGGUGCAUUAGCUAGUUGGUGAGGUAACGGCCCACCAAGGCGACGAUGCAUAGCCGACCUGAGAGGGUGAUCGGCCACACUGGGACUGAGACACGGCCCAGACUCCUACGGGAGGCAGCAGUAGGGAAUCUUCCACAAUGGACGAAAGUCUGAUGGAGCAACGCCGCGUGAGUGAUGAAGGUUUUCGGAUCGUAAAACUCUGUUGUAAGGGAAGAACACGUACGGGAGGAAAUGCUCGUACCUUGACGGUACCUUACGAGAAAGCCACGGCUAACUACGUACCAGCAGCCGCCGUAA
rnacentral:rRNA from 1 species